AGUCUUUAUGUACAUGCGUGGGGUGGGGCACGUCUUCUUUGCGCUCUUUCUAGCUUUUGGACUUACACUGUUGAAAUUUGUACGAAGGCUCCGACACAUCUAAAUGCAUCAAAACCAGAUAAUGUCAGAACUGGUUUUUACUGGUCUCUUCUGUUUCUGUGCCAAUCAAAACUAUACGGUUGACGUAGCUAGCUGUUCAACAGCUUGGUAUGUUUUGGGUCCAAAGCUUCCACCCCAUGCAAGUUAGCAGCCUCGUCAAUCAUCGAAUCCAGCAUUGUUGGUUUCACCCACUCUAAAAAAUUCGCAUCAGUUUCCAACGUUGUGAAUCCUUUCCUCACAGUACUAACCUUCGACACACCCUUCCGACGCGUUGGGCUUUAGUGCCCGGAUCUAGAUUUAUGCAGACUGGUGAUUUAGAAGACCAUCCACCCACCGUAUCAAUACAAUCACCAAUCACGCGCAAGAGGGAAAUCCUCUGCAGCCCAAUGCAUGCAUCUCGUGUGAUAAGUUACUCGCACUGUCAAGACUUGGUAAGCACACGCUUCACAUUUCUCGCAUUAAGUUAUACCUUUUCGGUGCCUCUGAUAUGGGUUCGUCCUGCCUCUACAUUCUGCAACACGCUUUCUCGAGCUCUAAAUAGAUUCCCCUCUUCUUCUUCUUCUUUUUUCUCCCUCCUGUUUCAUGACAAGUUGAGAAGAGUGUUUUUUCUAGCCACCCACAUCGAUAUUCUCAAAGCAGUGGAGCGUGUUUUAACUUAUCUGUUGUCAAGUAGUGACGAGCUCAAAACAAUCGCCCUCUUUAAGAAUCUUAAUUAUGAGGAUCUCACUCUUCAUUAUGUUCUUUCAUGGCCCCUGUUUUAGAAAAAUGGUAAUAUGGGUUUUGUAAUGUAGCGUUCAAACAGAUUCAGAAAGAGAGAGCAAGAUUCCUGCACAAGCCCAUGGCAGCCACAGAAAACUCAUGUGCUCUGGAUUUCUAGCAUUUUGCAAAUUAGAGUCUAUGUCUCAAUGCUACUUAUUAUUAUAUUCUUUUGCAGCUUGACUUGGUGAAUUCUUAGUAAUAUAACAGAAGAAUGUUGUAAAGAGUCACAUGUUUGUUAAAACGUUUUCGGCACAUGUCAAUAUUUGCUUAAAUAUUAAAUUUGGUUGAUACUGAAAAUCAAAUUAAAAACAUAAAAUUGUCAAAAAUCAUUCUGUUGUUUAAAUGGCAAUCCAUGUUUUUAAGUUUACAAGAUUGUGUAAGUUUAACAAAAACCAUAAUUUAUUUUUAAAAAUAAAAAAUAAAUGGAGGUUAUUUGAAAAUAUGUAAAUACAAUGUCAGACUCACAGCUGCUGACAAAUUCAUUAAAGCCACGUUCAGGAUUGUUGGGUCAAAUUGGGGUCAAGAGACAAGAUCUCACUCGAGCAUUUUAAUUUUAGU
rnacentral:lncRNA from 1 species